UACGUAGGUGGCAAGCGUUGUCCGGAAUUAUUGGGCGUAAAGCGCGCGCAGGCGGUCCCUUAAGUCCGAUGUGAAAGCCCACGGCUCAACCGUGGAGGGUCAUUGGAAACUGGGGGACUUGAGUGCAGAAGAGGAAAGUGGAAUUCCAUGUGUAGCGGUGAAAUGCGUAGAGAUGUGGAGGAACACCAGUGGCGAAGGCGACUUUCUGGUCUGUAACUGACGCUGAGGCGCGAAAGCGUGGGGAGCAAACAGG
rnacentral:rRNA from 1 species